rnacentral:tmRNA from 1 species
ACUCGGCUGCCCCAUAGGCUCCGCCCUUGGGCUUAUGGGAAAGCUCAAAGGGGCUAUACUUUAACCAAUCCUGCCUUUGGGAGUGGUUAAAGCGAAAAGCAAAACAAAGGCUACGCUCGUAGAAGCCUGAGGCUGAAGCUUUCCGGACACGGGUUCAACUCCCGUCGCCUCCACCA